rnacentral:lncRNA from 1 species
CCACUACACCCAUUACAUCCACUCAUUACCAAACAUUCACCCACUACACCCAUUACAUCCACUCAUUACCAAACAUUCAUCCACUACGCCCAUUACAUCCACUCAUUACCAAACAUUCACCCACUACACCCAUUACAUCCACUCAUUACCACAACAUACACCACUACCACCUUAAUUAGAUGGUAGUCCUCUCCCUAGCCUAUAAAUACAUCCACCCUUCACCAUAACAAGAGAAAGGGGGGGGGAGAAUAGAUCCAUCCAAAGACACUACAUUCACAUCUCACAACUCCAUACACUUACACUUUCAUUCCUUGGGUGAGAACACAAGCUCUCUUUUCUCUCUAAAGAGGCCGGCCACCCUAGAGGAAAAAAGCUAGCAAUCUUACUUCCUCUAGGUCACUCAUUUCUUCAUCAAUCUUUCCUUGGUGUGGAGACUUAGAGGUUCUUAACUUUGAGAACUUGGAGAAACCAAUUCUUCCAUCUAAAUCCAUGGAGCUAAGAAGCAAGGAAUGAAGACCCUAUCUCUUGGGUGAUUAUCCUUUGCUUAUGCAAAGAGGAAUCAACAAAGAUAUAAUUUCUCAACUCACUUUGUUUUGAGUUGAGUCUUGGUUCACCUAACUACUAGGCUUUGAAUUUAAUGGGUUAUGUUUUGUUUUGAGUGCAUGCAAGCAUGAUUCCGCCUUUAAUUUGUUAAUUGCAUGCUAUAGAUGUUGCUCAAAUGAACAUGUUUUUCACAAAAUUUCCUUCAUAAUGGAGGUGCCACCAUGGUGGGUGGCUGUUGAGGAGUAGUAUGGCGAAGAGGGUGGUGCUGAUUUUGUUUGUUUGCUUUUUAUUUAAUUUAAAUAAGCGUAAAAAAAGGAAGUCCAAACCAAAUUAAAGAAAGUGGCGUGUAUUCAUAAUAUUGUGGGGUGCUAAUAAAACUACCAAAAAACAAAGAUGUAAAUGUUUAAUCUCACAAUUUUAGAAGCUAAGCAUCUGUAUUAAAACGCCUCUAUAAAUUAUGUGCCAGCCAAUAGGUAAUUAAUGCGUUACUAAGGCUUUUAGCGAAAAUGGUCCAUGAGAUUUGCAUAACACAUCACUUUGGUCUCUGAGAUUGAAAAUCAAUAGAAAUGGUCCCUAAGAUUGUCCUGAUGUAAUAUAAAAUAGCACACAAACUUAAACCCUCAUUUUGAUAGUUGUAGUAUGUGUAAGUAGGGAUCGCUCUAGGCUAGGGAUUAAGAGGGCUGCUAAUCUACACAAAUUAAACUCUAAAUCACUAAAAUAGACUUAAAAACAGAAAACUAAACUUAAACUACUAAAAAUAAGCUAACUGAUUCAAAACACACAAACUAAGUUAAAUUGACUCGAAACAGGAACUAAAGGGAAGUUUGGACGAAAAUUAAACUAAAAAGACUCAGAAUACUAAAUGGGGGGUCGUUUUGACGAAUUUAAGAUUUAAGCAAACAAACUUGCAGAAACAAACUAAAGGGUACAAAAUUGGGUGAAUUAAGGGGGUGAAAGGCUAGCUAGAGGAUCCUUCUCCACACAUGACACAUAUGCAUACAAAUCGAUUUCCAAUUAUUCUUCCUAUAAACCAUGAAUUACAAUGCCCUAAGUUAACCGUAAACUGCACAAAUUAACCAUCAGAUUUUCCUAACUUCAUUGAAUUGGACUCAGUGAUGCAACCAAAUUAUUCUUAUCAAGUUCCCUACAUGAACUGCAUAAUAGAGAUACAUAUCAAAGAUCAUUAAGUUCUGUGAAAAUCAUAAGCAUUGACAUGACAUUCAUAACUAUGAACUGCAUGAUACUCAUGCCAGGAAUUUACUUAACGCGAUCGUGACUAGCAACCUCCACUACUUGUAAAUAUAAGUUCAUAACUAUUAGGUGAAACUCCCUUAUAUUUUAGCAUCAAAUUCAUGCAUGCAAACUAAGUGGGCCCUGUUAAUCAACACAUAAGAACAAGUUAUCAAUCAAACAGUUAAGUAAAUUGCACUCACAAUUUAUGAAAUAAUAACUGGAUGUAAUCAAUUCAUAUCACAUAUAUGUUCAUGGCUUUGAAUCCACCUCCAACUAAAACGAAAUUAGUUCCUCUUGUUUGCAAUUAAACAAAGACAAUUAAAAUUAAACAUUGAAAACAAAAGAUAUAAUACACCUAGAAAUGCUCCAACAAUCCAAAGGUCUUGAAUGGCAGGCACGGCUCUAAGCUUCUUCUUCUCCUUCCUUGCAAAGCUAUAGCACAAGUGUGUUUUUUUUAUUUUAGGCUCUUGUGUGUGUUCUCAAUGGUGUGGCAUUGUGGUGUAUUUAUAGGCUGAAGGCACACGGUACAAGGUAGUUUUGGAGAAGGAUUUGGCACUCCAAAGGUUGUGUUGGAAAGGGAUUGCACAUCACAAACCAAUAGGUACAAGGAUCUAGGGUGUGGCAGAUUUCUAGGCUUCUAGAAAGAGGGUGUUGUGGUAGGUUUCUAGAAGGACAAGGGAUAAGGUAUGCGGCACCCUUUUAGGAAAAGGUAAGGCCUUCUAAAAAUCAGGUUUUUAGAUGUCAUAAUAUGAAAAUAACUCCCCCUUGCAGCUGGAAUUUAGUUAGAAUAGGAUUAGGAUAAGGUUAGGAUAAGAUAAGAUAAGGUUUUGGAUAAUGUUCCUUCUCUUUAGCUGAUUCCUUGUCUUCUAUGUCUUGAAUUAAUUUCUUCAACUCUUUAGCACAUUCCUAGCCUCUUUUGAUCUUCAAAAACGUCCAUCCACCUUGCUCCAUUCAUAUGUUGUCUAUUCCCAGCCCAAAACUGCUCUAAAAUGCUCCAAAUCGCCUUUUUUUUGCCACUUUUUCCAUUUAAACCUACAAACACACGAAAAUGGCUUAAAACACUCUAAAAAACAUAGAAACUAACUACGUAAAUGCAAGGAAACAAGUUAACUAAGUUGCAUAAAUAUGCUCCUAUCAUGUCCACCAUCCAUUAUUUUGGUCAUUCCGUUAAAAACUUCAUUAAGUGUCCCGGAGCUCUUAGCCGAAAGUUUGGGCAAUUUUCAAAGUUUCGUAACUCAAUCAUUUCUUAACCAAAUUUAACCCAUAAUAUAUCAAAAUGAAGAUAGGAAAGUGUAGAACAAGAUUAUACCUAUUUGGAAGCCCAAUGGUUUUUGGAGAUGGCUGGAAAAUAGCCUGAAAGGUGACUGGUCCUCAGGAAAACUGAAAAACUCGCCAGAAAUUGGGUAAACUUUAAAUGUUCAUAACUUUUUCAAAACUUAACUAAAUCGACUGAUUCAAAAACGAAAAUCAUAGUUCUUGAUGAGAUGAAGAGACUGAUACCUUUCUCGAUGCUAAAUUUGUUGGAAAUGUGCCCUAAAACCAAUCAUGUGAUGAUGCUUUACGGACAUUUCACAUGUUAAACUAAUC